rnacentral:misc_RNA from 1 species
GGCAUUUCUUGUAAUUGAACAUAAUGAUCAGGGGAGAGCGCGGACGCAGUCCCCCACUACCAGAAAUUAUGCAGUCGAGAUUCCCACAUUUGGGGAAUUCGCAGGGGUCAGCACAACCGAAGUGCAAUGGCUGGGCCUCGCCCUGGGUGAACCACCUUCUUGAUCAUGGUAUCUCCCCUGCCAGGUAAGUAUGAGUUGGGAGCACCGGAGACAGGGCCCUAGCUCUGAGACACAGUUGUUUGGCUCACGGUGCCUGCAAUGCAUAUUCGCAGAGCCCAAAAGCCUUCGGUAACGCCUCGUCCUCCUUUGAUACAGGAUUUGUUGAAGUGAAGCAAACACUGCUGUGAAAUGACUAGGCUGUGAAAUGACAUAUAAAUUAAUUUAUCACAUUUCUUGGCUCCCGUCCUUUUAUUCCCCUUGCCA